CUAAGGUUUUAGAGCAUGUAAAGGAGCUAUUCACCUUUGAAUGAUGUCUCUGGGCUUGCUAGUAGACCCUGUCGGAGACCAGUGGUGGGACAGCAGGAAACUGUCCAGCUCUUUGGGGUUCUCCUGUCUUCCAUCCAGUAUCAUGUUCUUAUUUUAACCAUUUCUCCUCUUUUCUUUCUCCUCCCCCCGUUAUUUUGUACAGAAUGAGUUGGCAGUAGCUUCCUUUACAGUCAAACCUAUAGGAUAUACAGAUUAUACAGAGUAUCAAUACAGUUAUUUCUUUUCUAGAAAUGAAAGAGGAAUAAAACAAAUAAAAAGAGGAAAGUCCUCCUUCGGAUAUCCAGGGCAUGAGCAGAGUGCGGAACCUGCACUUGGAGCAAACUCCCAGAAGAUGACAGAAGGAGAGCGCCCCGUAGAACCUCAUCUGCAUUAAAUGCUGCAAAACCACAUGGUUGUCUUUUUUCCAAUCCAAGGAUGAGUACUUUCUUCCUUUUCUAAAAGGAUAGACUCAUCUUUGUAGGGGAACCCAUUAAGAAUCUGUUUUGGUGUCUCUUGCUCUCUCUCUGAAAUGAAUAAAUAAGAUUUUUUUUUUAAAAGAAUCUUUCUU
rnacentral:lncRNA from 12 species